rnacentral:rRNA from 1 species
CUGCCAGUAGUCAUAUGCUUCGUUCAAGGGCUAAGCCAUGCAUGUCUCAGCGUACAUGGAAUCCCACAGUGGGUCUGUGAAUGGCUCCUUACAUCAGCAGUCAUCUCAGUGAUAAAGUGUGCACCUUGCUGGGUGUUCCUCCUGGACAUCCACCGAAACCCAGUGGCUAAUACACCAUCGAAGAAGCCUGCUGCAGCAUGGCACUGUUCCUUGGCUCCAACCAUGGCAAUGCCAGUGGUGGACUGCGACCAGUCGUCUGGGAAGACCAGCGCCUGGUUAAGAGGGCAGUGUUUUGCUGUUGACUCAGGCUGGAAUCCUUGUGACUCCUUGCACUGGCAGAGUGGUUGCCCUCGGGCACAGCAUUGCUUGAUCACAUGAGCUUCUGACCUAUCAGCUUGGACUGUGGUGCAGUGGACCACAGUGGCAGUGACGGGUGACGGAGAAUCAGGGUUCGAUUCCGGAGAGGGAGCCUGAGAGAUGGCUACCACUACCAAGGUGGGCAGCAGGCACGCAAAUUGCCCAAUGCCAAGGCACUGCUGAGGCAGCGACGAACUGCAGCAAUCCUGCCUGUCCUCUGUGAUGGGUGGGACUUGUAAUGGAUGCAAUCCAAACACAGUGAUGAGUAUCAACUGGAGGGCAAGUCUGGUGCCAGCAGCUGCGGUAAUUCCAGCUCCAAGAGUGUAUACUGACAUUGCUGCUGUUAAAACACUUGUAGUCCGCUGCUGGGCUCAGGUCUGCCAAGUGGCUGGUGGAGUGCUGUCUUCGGGCUAGCCUCUGCUGGAACUCAACCCUUGGCAGUAUGUUCCUGUGCCCGAACCAACGGUGGUGUGAAUUGCCCUUGCUCCAAGCCUCCUUCAGUGGGGGUUGAUGCGGUGUCAUACCACAAGCAUGUGCCUGACGUCUGGGUCCUGGCCCCGUGCCAGGAAUCCCUGUCAACCACCAGGGUCCACUGCCUAUGAUACUGUGGAAAACUCAGUGUGCUCCAAGCAGCCUGUUGGCUGAAUGUCCGUCCAUGGAAUGUCAAAGCAUCGACUUGGUGUGGCUAUGGAGUUGUGCUGGCCUUGGUGCCCAACCAAGAGAAUGUGGUGCUUGUGCCCACUGGUGUGACUGGCCAUGUUGUCUCCGGGCUAACUGGCCAGGCUUCCUCUGGGUUGCUUGCACUGAUCGACCACGAUGGGACUGCUCGGGGUGAAGGAUACUGCAGCGCCAGAGGUGAAAUUCUUAGACCGCUGCCUGAUCAACUGCAGCGAAGGCGCUCUGCAAGUGCAUGUUCGUCGAUCAAGAAUGAGAGUGUGGGGAGCGAAGAUGAUCAGACACCGUCGUAGUCCACUACUGUAAACUAUGCCAGCUCGGUGCUGAGGGUGCAAGUACAGAGACACUCCCAGCGCCAUGCCCCCUGCAACGAGAAAUCCACAGCCUGUGGGUUCAGGGGGGAGUACUGUCGCAAGGCUGAAACUUAAAGGAAUUGACGGAAUGGCACCACCAGGCGUGGAGUAUGCGGCUUAAUUUGACUCAACACGGGGAAUGUUACCAGGUCAGGACGUUGUCUGGAUGGACAGAUUGAGAGCUCUUUCUUGAUCCUUCGGAUGGUGGUGCAUGGCCGCUCCUGAUUGGUGGAGUGAUUUGUCUGGUUGAUUCCGAUAACGAGUGAGAUAUCUGCCUCCCACUAGCUCCUGUCCCGCAUCUGUAGGGUUCAGGCCUGAUGCAACCAGCUGCCCUCGGGCAGUCUGGGGAGUCAGUGCCACCUGAGGGGCAUGGAAUCAAGCUUCUCUGAGGUGCUGUGCACACUACCAAGUGCAUGCAUGCUAGAGCCAACAGCAGGUCUGUGAUGCUCCCAGAUGUCCUGGGCCGCACGCGCACUACAUUGAUCCAGUGAAUGUGUUGUUGCCCACUCGUUGGGACCUGGCUGGAAGUGGCUGGGAAACCACUGGAGCCUGGAUCGUACUGGGGAUAGAUGCUUGCAACUGUCUGCCUUGAACGAGGAAUGCCUAGUAUGCACAGGUCAUCAGCCUGUACCGAUUGCGUCCCUGCCAUUUGUACACACCGCCCGUCGUUGCUACCGAUGGUAGCAGGAUAGAGCCAUCAGGAGACCCUUGGCACCCAGUGUGUCAGGGUUGAAAUUGGGCAAUGUCCUGCUGCUAGAGGAAGCAAAAGUC